CCCCCUCCUCUCUCUGGAUGAGCUGUUAGGGCACCCUUUGCCUCUUCCCAGGAAUCUUGCUGGCCAGCUAAUUGCUCAGCUAGGGAGGCAUCUGCAGUCAGUGACAUCUAGGACAAUGAGGACUAGUCAUCCUGAAGAGGUGAUAACGCACAAUGUAGCAUUACAGUGUAAGGACUGGAGGGAGGACUAGGCCUCGCUUAGAGCCAAAUCAAAGGGACCAGCUCAGAGGACUGGGCGGGAUUCCUGGCUCCACCCCCAGCAGAAGCUCUGGUCUCCUGGUGAGUCUGUCCCAGGAGGAGGAGGAGGAGGACCCCAAGGAAGAAGCAGGCCGAGAGCUGCUGGGGAGAUGGGAAGGCCGCAGGCUGUGAGGAAGAAGGACCAGGACAUCCGUGCAAGGCCUCCGGAGGGAAGUCGUUCUUCUGUACGGAUCGCUGGGGAUCUACAUUGCCAGGUCUGAGGACUGCAAAGCAGAAGAAGGAAGGAAAGAAAGAAAGAAAGAAAGAAAGAAAGAAAGAAAGAAAGAAAGAAAGAAAGAAAGAAAGAAAGAAAGAAAGAAAGAAAGAAAGAAAGGGCGGAGGCCAGGAACCAUUGAGUAGAGGGCCUUCCUCCACCCAGCCCAGGACAUUCCCCAACACUUGCUGGGUUGCCAUGAUGCUCUGCUCUAGAUGAGCUUCCGUGGGCUGGAUCACCAGCCCUCCUCACACGAUGAAAUCUAAGAUUUCUUCCUCCAGCGAAAUGAAGCCAUCUCUGCCAAUUAAUCUAAUAGUAGCAGUCCUGCACCUGGCCGUGUCCAGAGUCAACCAGCUGGACCCAGGGACGCAGGGAUAUUCUUAUUGAGCUUUUUCCAUCCUGCGCCACAAACUCCUGCUGCUUCCACUCCCGGGCUACUUGUCCCAUUUGAGACCACUUCAGAAUCUUUUCUAUGUAAGGAUGCCACAGUUUUGCUUUGUCAUAAUAUGUUCUAUGACGAAGGGAGAAUUCAGUGUCAACUGAAAAUCUCCCGGUUGGCCCCAACUGGAAACAGAAGCGAAGCCCUGUAGUGGUAACCAGUUCAGAAGACGUCGUUCCAUAAUUCCAUCAUUGGUUUCAUUCAGAAAGAAAGACUGGCAUGAUGCUUUCUUCUCAAGUCAAGUCCCAUGGUUGUCUUUUUCUAGAGUUACAUGGAAAGCUGAAGAGUUUGGAUAUUAUUCUGCAGGAAAUGUAACUAAACUGGUUCAACGUGUUUGAACUGGUUACCAAAAGACUUUGGAAAGUCAGUAUUUGACCCCACACUGAAUGGGAGAGUUCCAAAAGAAUCACGAAUUUGAACUGGAAUUGACCCUCAGUUGGAAUUGGUUUGACUCCCUGCACAGAACAAGAACAUUGAGGUGCUCCAGAAGAUUAUCAGGGCUUUGCUGGAGGAGGCCCCCUCUGUCUGGAGUUUAAUCAGCAUCUUGAAGG